GAUGAACGCUGGCGGCGUGCCUAAUACAUGCAAGUCGAGCGAACGGACGAGAAGCUUGCUUCUCUGAUGUUAGCGGCGGACGGGUGAGUAACACGUGGAUAACCUACCUAUAAGACUGGGAUAACUUCGGGAAACCGGAGCUAAUACCGGAUAAUAUUUUGAACCGCAUGGUUCAAAAGUGAAAGACGGUCUUGCUGUCACUUAUAGAUGGAUCCGCGCUGCAUUAGCUAGUUGGUAAGGUAACGGCUUACCAAGGCAACGAUGCAUAGCCGACCUGAGAGGGGGAUCGGCCACACUGGAACUGAGACACGGUCCAGACCCCUACGGGAGGCAGCAGUAGGGAAUUUUCCGAAAUGGGCGAAAGCCUGACGGAGCAACGCCGCGGGAGUGAUGAAGGUUUUCGGAUCGUAAAACUUUUUUUUUAGGGAAAAAAAUAUGUUUAAGUAACUGUGCCAAUUUUGACGGUACCUAAUCAAAAAGCCACGGCUAACUACGU
rnacentral:rRNA from 1 species